GACGAACGCUGGCGGCGUGCCUAAUACAUGCAAGUCGAGCGCAGGAAGCUGACGGAACUCUUCGGAGGGAAGGCAGUGGAAUGAGCGGCGGACGGGUGAGUAACACGUAAGGAACCUGCCUCAAGGAUUGGGAUAACUCCGAGAAAUCGGAGCUAAUACCGGAUAGUUCAACGGACCGCAUGGUCCGCUGAUGAAAGGCGCUCCGGCGUCACCUUGAGAUGGCCUUGCGGUGCAUUAGCUAGUUGGUGGGGUAACGGCCCACCAAGGCGACGAUGAAUAGCCGACCUGAGAGGGUGAUCGGCCACACUGGGACUGAGACACGGCCCAGACUCCUACGGGAGGCAGCAGUAGGGAAUCUUCCACAAUGGACGAAAGUCUGAUGGAGCAACGCCGCGUGAGUGAUGAAGGUUUUCGGAUCGUAAAACUCUGUUGUAAGGGAAGAACACGUACGAGAGGAAAUGCUCGUACCUUGACGGUACCUUACGAGAAAGCCACGGCUAACUACGUGCCAGCAGCCGCGGUAACAC
rnacentral:rRNA from 1 species